GCAACAGUUGAAAGAGCCUUCUCAUCAAUGAAAAUCAUCAAGACUGAGUUGCGCAGCAAGAUGUCUGAUGGCUGGCUUAAUGACUUGAUGGUGUGUUACAUUGAGCGAGCGAUCUUCAAAAGUAUUGAUCUUGAUAAAAUUAAGGAAGAUUUUCAGAAGGAAGGUAGGGCACUGCCAUUGCCUGGGUCUUCUACACGCCAUUAA
rnacentral:rRNA from 1 species